rnacentral:tRNA from 1 species
UCCCUGGUAGCUCAGAGGGUAAAGCAUCUGCCUGCAAUGCGGGAGACCCAGGUUCAAUCCCUGAGUCAGGAA